rnacentral:rRNA from 1 species
AGAGUUUGAUCAUGGCUCAGAUUGAACGCUGGCGGCAUGCUUUACACAUGCAAGUCGAACGGUAACAGGUUAAGCUGACGAGUGGCGAACGGGUGAGUAAUGCAUCGGAACGUGCCCGGUCGUGGGGGAUAACGCAGCGAAAGCUGCGCUAAUACCGCAUACGAUCUGAGGAUGAAAGCGGGGGACCGUAAGGCCUCGCGCGAUCGGAGCGGCCGAUGUCAGAUUAGGUAGUUGGUGGGGUAAAGGCUCACCAAGCCGACGAUCUGUAGCUGGUCUGAGAGGACGACCAGCCACACUGGGACUGAGACACGGCCCAGACUCCUACGGGAGGCAGCAGUGGGGAAUUUUGGACAAUGGGCGCAAGCCUGAUCCAGCAAUGCCGCGUGCAGGAAGAAGGCCUUCGGGUUGUAAACUGCUUUUGUACGGAGCGAAAAGGCUCUCUCUAAUACAGGGGGCUCAUGACGGUACCGUAAGAAUAAGCACCGGCUAACUACGUG